rnacentral:lncRNA from 1 species
GCUGUAGCAAGCCUCCAGGUAUUAUUGUAAAUUAUAUGGGGACAAAGUCCCCUAUUACAGUAGAAAAUUCAAUAAAAAAAAAAAAAAAAAAAAAAAAUCGGGAAAAUUUCCCGAAUUUUUCAUUGUACUAAUGAACUCAAAAUCGUUCAAUUUUUUUGUCGGGUUUUUUAAUUUCCGGAUCUGCGCAGAACACAUAACUCUACUUCCUUCUUCCGGUCUUGUUGUCGUGAGACUUUGAUUAGUCUAGUAAAAUAUAGGAACUCAAGGAACACAAUACCAAUAUAUUUCAUUUUUAAUCAUUCUUUGUCUUUGG